rnacentral:tRNA from 1 species
GCGAUUGUAGUUUAAUGGUAGAACGUCCGGUUGUGGUCCGGGAAACGAGGGUUCGAUUCCCUUCUUUCGCU